rnacentral:lncRNA from 1 species
UCAUCGGGCUUUGCUCUGGGACUUAGCAGGAAAGACUCCGUGCUGGUAUUUGUCACUUCACUCUUCCGGAAGUUGGAUGCCAAGUUGUCCGAAGGACUUGGGUCUCCUGGGAGCAGUGCCUGUCCCCCUGCUGUGGAGACCUCCUGAAGCUUCGGGAUCCCUGGGUUGGUGACACCUGCCUGCCCUCACUUUGUUUGCCUCACUAGACUCUGAAGUUUUCCUCAGCAGCAGCUGAUGGUGACAAGUUUGACCUGAGGUCAUCCUCAUCCUAGCCGGGAGGGAGGAGACAUGGACAGCCGUAAGACCUGAGCCUGGAGAGAGCCCAGCUAAAGACCACAAGAUAUUUGGUUGCUAGUUCUGCAAAUUUGUUUGAUUUAUCUGAAGGCUUUUUGGAAUCUAUCUAGCUUCAAGAAACAUGAGAAAUACAAAGAGGAAGAGACUGGCCAGAGCUGAGCAGCUGGCGUUCCUCCCGACUCUGACACCUGUCUCCUCAGUUUGGUGUGGGACUGUAAGCAUGUGUGUCCUUUCCAUAAACCCUGUUUUCCCAAAGUGACAAGCCCCGACUAGCACAGUCAUCUGUUUGUAUGCCUCACCCUGCUCUCCAGCCUAGCCAGAAGUCCGGCAGCAUCCCAGCAGCGAGCUAGCUCGCUCUACAGGAAGCUCUCCUUGUUCCCAGGUACAUGUUCCUCUGUGUGGGAUGUGGCUCACGCACCUUCAUCUGGCCUGAGGUCAUCCUGUGACCAGCCCUGCUCCAAAGGGAGCCCAACAUUUGAGUUCCACUGUAAAAAAAUACUUAAGUUUUCUCUGUUUUUAAAAGAUUUACUAUUUUUAUUAUUAAUUAUGUAUAUUUGUGUGACUGUGUGUGUGUGUGUUCAGUGUCUACCCUCACAGGUGAGAAGAGGGCAUAAAAUCUAGAGUUACAGGUUGGUUCUUGGAACUAACUUGGGUCUUCAUCAAGCAGCAAGGACAAUAUUUUUUAUACUUUGGAAAAGUGACAUCACUUCC